AGCAGCCGCGGUAAUUCCAGCUCCAAUAGCGUAUAUUAAAGUUGUUGCAGUUAAAAAGCUCGUAGUUGAAUUUCGGGGUUAACAGGUCGGUCGUGCCAUCGGUAUGAACUGGUCUCGCUGAUCCCUCCCUCUUGACGAACUGUGAUGCCAUUAAUUUGGUGUCGCAGGGAAUCAGGACUGUUACUUUGAAAAAAUUAGAGUGUUUAAAGCAGGCUCACGCUUGAAUACAUUAGCAUGGAAUAAUGAAAUAGGACGUUUGAUCCUAUUUUGUUGGCUUCUAGGAUUGACGUAAUGAUUAAUAGGGAUAGUUGGGGGCAUUAGUAUUCAAUUGUCAGAGGUGAAAUUCUUGGAUUUAUUGAAGACUAACUACUGCGAAAGCAUUUGCCAAGGAUGUUUUCAUUAAUCAAGAACGAAAGUUAGGGGAUCGAAGACGAUCAGAUACCGUCGUAG
rnacentral:rRNA from 1 species